UUGUAUUUUUAAAGAUAAUUAUACAUAAUAUAUAUAAGUGUAAUUUAUCUUUAAAACCUCAAUGAAUGCUUGUGAUGUAAGGUUUGGAAGGGCUCGGUUUAGAUUACCGAGGAAUCCAAGAAUCCAUAAUUACUACAUUUAAUAGCUAGAAGAAAUCAUCUACUUUUCCAACCAGUUUGUAGCUCACGCAUCUCAUCUGUCCUCCUUGUGAUGGGAGACAACAGUGGAGCUGCUCAGCAGAAACUGUCUUUGUCUUACUAACUCGACAGUAUAAUUAUCUGUCGCAUGCAGCUGCAGGAGGAAUAGCCAAAUGGAGGCAUACGCAGAGGAAUCAUAGACGAGCAGAGAAGACGGGGGGGUGUUGCAGUGGGGAGUGGGUGAGGUGCGGCCGGCCGGCACCACCCCCACUGGGUUGUGCCGGCUUCGGCACUCCCCGGUGGGGGUCACCACAUCAUGUUGCUGCCCCUCCAUGGCAGACACCGGUUAAAGGCCUUUCCCUGGUGCACCCCUGUGACCCCCCUUUUCCUUCUCGGUGCACAGCUUUGAUGCCUUGUUUCGAGCAGUCUUCUUGUCUGACCACCUUCUUCCUCCUCCUUUUCGUCUUCUUCUUCAAAGCUCUCAAUCAUCACAUGGUGGUCUACCAACCAUGGUCUUUUGUCCGCAUCUCCCCCUCCUCAGGGCUUCUAGUUUCUCGGAGACUCUGCACACCAAGUUGCUGGCCAUGUCAAAGCAGGAGUCACCACAAAGUUGAAUGACAAAAGGAAACAAUGAUAGCUCACUUGUUCUUCUUUUCCUUCUUUCUCACUUUUGCAGACUGCUAACGAGAAUAGAGAAGAAGCAGACUUUUGAGCUGAACUGAAGUUAAUUUUCAAGAAUCAAAAUGAACUCUUAUCAAAACUGCCCUUGUAAGGAAGAAAUUUCUUUUGGUGAAGAAUGAAAAACAACUGUUCUUCUUCUUGGCUGCACAUUGCUAUCUGUAAUAGGAUCACUACUCUUAAUUCUUUCAUCUUCUUCAUGCAAGGAUGGUGGGGGGUGGGAUGAGAAAGCAGCAGUAUAAUAUUCGUGUUAUGGGGCAGAUGAGAUGGUCGAAAGAAGGUAGCUUAGGUCAGUUACCAGAGAAAAGGCACAUUUCCACUGUGCUUGUGUGCCACUAAACAUGGGAUUUGAGACAUAUGGAUCAAUUGAAGGUCUUCUAAGUUGUAAAGAUCCAAUGUGGAUUUCGAUCAUAUAUGUCAUGAAUUCUCCUUUACACUGCUCACUGGAGCUAAACCAUGCAACAAGAAAAUAAUCUUCUUCAGUAAGGAACAUAUAACAACAGUGUUAUGAGAUGCAUCCCAUCUCAUUCUCUUUGAAGAAACAUCUCAUUCAAUAUUUAGCUUUUAUCUCAUGUUGAUUUUAUAGCAAACAAGAAUAUCCUGCAUGUUUGACUCUAUAGAAGUUCUCAGAUCAUAUACUUUUUUGAAGAUCAUUAUGAUUGCUAUAUCCAUCUACUGCAUAUGUACAUCUGAAAUUAUAUUCCAAGUUCUAGAUUUUUGGAAUGCUUUUGUCUUACCAUCUCUUUAAUGACUAUUUACCAUGGAAUUUAUACUCUCUUUUAUAGUUUCAACUGGAAUAUAGAAUCAUACUUUUAUCUCUGCUAAAGUGCAGUAACUGAAAAAUCAGAAGCAGAAAUUAUGUAUCCUAAUGUGUCAGUUGGUAAGUGGCUUGUAAUACUAUUGACUUCUGUUCUGUGACAUUGAUAGUGUGGUCGAGUUUUUUAGGGCACUACAGAAGGCAGUGACUUGGGAUUUGUGGACUUCAGAAUUCACUGUUCCAAAGGUUAUCCACUGGUUUCUGCCAUCAGCUGGAUUGAGUUCUUCCAAUUUCUCAGCACUGUUGGUAUAAUGUUGAUAAAAAGGAGGAUCAGAUGCACCUUUCUCGCAUAAAGUCUUUUCAAGUUAGAUGUGUGGAAUCAAGCAAAGUAGAUUAUGUGGGAGUAAAAUGUGAUGUGGAAGAACACAAAAAGGUUUUAUGUCUGAGAAGUCAAAGAGACUGCUUACAGGAAACGGACAACAACAGCCCAAAAUCCAGAAAUGAAAGAUGAUCAAGAUUUGCCUUCCGAUGAGAACUCAAAGCACAUCAGAGGAUGACUGCCUCAUGCUUUCAGGAUCGAGAGCAGCACACAAAGACAAACAGCUGAAUCCCAACUUAUCCGACAAGGGAGGGUGCAGAGAUGAGGUAGCCGUCAUGUCCAGCCUCCUCCAUACACGGGUUUUCCUUUCUGUCCUUGGCACGUACAUCUCCGUAGCUUCGACCGGGAAACCAUCAGCUCACCCUGCUUAACGAGUUGAUUCAUACAUGAGGUUGAAUGAUACUGAUGAGACCAGAUUCUGAUCUUGGACUUAAAGAUGAGGAAGCCAGAGAUCAAACAAGAAUGACUCGGAGUGACUCAUCAUAUGUUUCAGCAAGAAGCACUACCAGUGGUGAAAAUGGAUUGUGGCACAGCAUUUGCCAAAUCAAUGUCAUGCCAACAGCUAACAAGCAUCACUAACUUAUGCUCUGAUUGGAGAAGGAAAACAUUCAUAUCAUGACUGGGAAUAGAAUGUUUAGAAUCUGGGAGGAUCAGAUAUUACAGAUGAGGAAUAACAAUAAUAAUACUUGGAGAAUAAAUAUAAGUUUAAGGGAUUGUUUACC